CCAGCAUUCGGUUGGGCGACUCUAGAGGGACUGCCGGCGACAAGUCGGAGGAAGGUGGGGAUGACGUCAAAUCAUCAUGCCCCUUAUGACCUGGGCUACACACGUGCUACAAUGGGCGGUACAAAGGGCUGCGAACCCGCGAGGGGGAGCGAAUCCCAAAAAGCCGCUACUCAGUUCGGAUUGCAGGCUGCAACUCGCCUGCAUGAAGCCGGAAUCGCUAGUAAUCGCGGAUCAGCAUGCCGCGGUGAAUACGUUCCCGGGCCUU
rnacentral:rRNA from 1 species